AUACGUAGGUGGCAAGCGUUAUCCGGAUUUAUUGGGCGUAAAGCGAGCGCAGGCGGUUUUUUAAGUCUGAUGUGAAAGCCUUCGGCUUAACCGGAGAAGUGCAUCGGAAACUGGGAGACUUGAGUGCAGAAGAGGACAGUGGAACUCCAUGUGUAGCGGUGAAAUGCGUAGAUAUAUGGAAGAACACCAGUGGCGAAGGCGGCUGCCUGGUCUGUAACUGACGCUGAGGCUCGAAAGUAUGGGUAGC
rnacentral:rRNA from 1 species